rnacentral:rRNA from 1 species
GGAUUAGAUACCCUGGUAGUCCUGGCAGUAAACGGUGCACGCUUGGUGUGGGGGGAUUUGACCCCUCCCGUGCCGGAGCUAACGCGUUAAGCGUGCCGCCUGGGAAGUACGGUCGCAAGAUUAAAACUCAAAGAAAUUGACGGGGACCCGCACAAGCGGUGGAGUAUGUGGCUUAAUUCGAUGCAACGCGAAGAACCUUACCUGGGCUUGACAUGGAUUGUGUCUACGGUGAAAGCCGUAUACCAACAGCAAUGUUGGGCUUUACACAGGUGCUGCAUGGCUGUCGUCAGCUCGUGCCG